GAGAGUUUGUUUGUGUAUGAAGCUUGCAAAUGGAGGAAAACCAGAUGCUGAUGACAUCAUGCUCUUCAAGGAUUAUAUCUAUCGGUUCCCCUUGCCUGCUGGCUUCCUCUUGGGCUUGGCCACUGGGAGGCACCAGUAGGAGAUCAGAGAUCAGGAAGUGAAUGAAGUCAGGGUCCUCAAAGGAAACAUAUAUGGUCAGUUAACAGAGGAAAAGAAAGUCCAGGCCUCUUUUAGACAUGAACCUACACAGUAUGCUGGAACCAUCUGGACAACUGUUGCACCCCAGCCCACUCUAGAGUGGCUUCAAAAGCAAAUGAUGAAGGGAUGCUCUCUAGUGGGCAGUACUCCACUACAGAUCUACCUGAGGAACAGACACAUAACAUGGAUGCGGAUUUGCCUCUUCUGCCUGCAGUAUUUCUACCAGUACCAUUAGUUUAUAGACCUACCAUUAGUUUAUAGUGCCUUAUCCAUUACCAUGGCAUUUCACAUGACACUGCUUCCA